rnacentral:rRNA from 1 species
UGGUGGAUUGCUUUGUCUGGUUAAUUCCGAUAACGAACGAGACCGCAACCUGCUAAAUAGUUCCGAUAACCAUCUGUAUGGGUGAAAGCGUUGUUGCCUUGGCUGGCUCAUGGUCGGUCAAGUGACGGCGUUGGAUCCUUGAUCGGUUGUCGCUUUGAACUUCUUAGAGGGACUAUUCUGUGUUUUAACGAUUGGAAGCUUGCGACAAUAACA